UACGGAAGGCAGCAGUGGGGAAUAUUGCACAAUGGGCGCAAGCCUGAUGCAGCCAUGCCGCGUGUAUGAAGAAGGCCUUCGGGUUGUAAAGUACUUUCAGUCGUGAGGAAGGUGUUAAGGUUAAUAACCUUAGCAAUUGACGUUAGCGACAGAAGAAGCACCGGCUAACUCCGUGCCAGCAGCCGCGGUAAUACGGAGGGUGCGAGCGUUAAUCGGAAUUACUGGGCGUAAAGGGCACGCAGGCGGUUAAUUAAGUUGGAUGUGAAAUCCCCGGGCUUAACCUGGGAAUGGCAUUCAAGACUGGUUAGCUAGAGUCUUGUAGAGGGGGUAGAAUUCCAUGUGUAGCGGUGAAAUGCGUAGAGAUGUGGAGGAAUACCGGUGGCGAAGACGGCCCCUGGACAAAGACUGACGCUCAUGUGCGAAAGCGUGGGGAGCAAACAGGAUUAGAUACC
rnacentral:rRNA from 1 species